CCUCGACCGACCCAUUUGAGAAUUGUUGGAAAGAUGAUUUUCAUCCCUCCGAAGGAAUUAAAGCACGUGGCGAAAAGGAGGUUGUGGCAAGCUUCCUCUCUUGAUAUCCCCAUCUUCUCACCUUCGUCCAGAACAUGAGUUGACGCGUCGUAGAAGAAGUCAUAGAGCUUCUGGUAACUUGAUUUAGCCAGAAAUGCCGGGAGUGGAAAAGUGUGGAUAAGGGGUUCUUCUAUAAACUUGGGUAGGCCUAGAGUGAGGAUGGGACUCAACUGGAAGACAACCCAUGUCGUGAUUAAGCCAGGCCCGUCAGUACCCAGUUUGGUAUCAGCCGGCUUGGUGCCGUAGAGAGCGCGAGCAAGAAAGUUGAAGGAUGCCUGAUCGUUAGGGUCGGCGAAACUGGCUUUGCCUUUUGCUGCGAGUUCGCUUUCAAGGGUCUCGGAGAGCUCGGAGAAGCAGGAAUGGAACUCUGGGAUGACCCUGUCGCGGCUGGACUGGAGGAGGAAGAAGAGGAGGCGCUUGAGUUUGGUGUGAUCGGGCUCGGAUGGAUCGAGAUAGGAAAGAACUCUGAAUCCGCCGGUGAAUUCGGUGGAGGGCAUGAAAGUUCCGGUGAAAACGUCCUUUUUUUCAACUUUGGAAACGUCAAAGAGUACAGGAAAACUCUUCCCAUCCAGUAAAACGAUGACUUUGGAGUUGGAGGAGAUGAAAGGGCCGGGUGGCAUGUUGGACCGGAACACGGUUG
rnacentral:lncRNA from 1 species